UUUAGACAAUCGCUGGUCAUGCCAGAGGAAAGUCCAUGCUCGCACAGUCUGAGAUGACUGUAGUGUUUAUGCUAAUUUAAUAAAUAAGGUUAGGCAGUAUUAUACUGACGGCUGAAGAUGAAUCUAAGGUUUGUACUAUGAUUCUAUUCUAUAAAAGUGUCAAAGAGACGAGCUUUUCAGAAAUGAAAAGAGUGGAACGUGAUAAACCCCAUAAGCGAGAAACCCAAAUUUGGUAGGGGAACUUCAUCGAGUGAAAUGAAAUAAGAUGAGGACAUAGCAAUAUGUAGAUAAAUGAUUGUCACCUUUAUGGUACAGAACAUGGCUUAUU
rnacentral:RNase_P_RNA from 1 species